rnacentral:rRNA from 1 species
GAUGAGCGCUGGCGGCGUGCCUAAUACAUGCAAGUCGAGCGAAUGGAUUAAGAGCUUGCUCUUAUGAAGUUAGCGGCGGACGGGUGAGUAACACGUGGGUAACCUGCCCAUAAGACUGGGAUAACUCCGGGAAACCGGGGCUAAUACCGGAUAACAUUUUGAACCGCAUGGUUCGAAAUUGAAAGGCGGCUUCGGCUGUCACUUAUGGAUGGACCCGCGUCGCAUUAGCUAGUUGGUGAGGUAACGGCUCACCAAGGCAACGAUGCGUAGCCGACCGGGGAGGGUGAUCGGCCACACGGGAACUGGGACGCGGCCCAGACUCCUACGGGAGGCGGCAGUAGGGAAUCUUCCGCAAUGGACGAAAGUCUGACGGAGCAACGCCGCGUGAGUGAUGAAGGCUUUCGGGUCGUAAAACUCUGUUGUUAGGGAAGAACAAGUGCUAGUUGAAUAAGCUGGCACCUUGACGGUACCUAACCAGAAAGCCACGGCUAACUACGUGCCAGCCGCCGCUGUAA